rnacentral:snRNA from 1 species
UGAUAGCGCUUAAGCGCGAAC